UACGUAGGUGGCAAGCGUUGUCCGGAUUUAUUGGGCGUAAAGCGAGCGUAGGUGGUUUCUUAAGUCUGAUGUGAAAGCCCACGGCUCAACCGUGGAAGGUCAUUGGAAACUGGGGAACUUGAAUGCAGAAGAGGAGAGUGGAAUUCCAUGUGUAGCGGUGAAAUGCGUAGAUAUAUGGAGGAACACCAGUGGCGAAGGCGACUCUCUGGUCUGUUAUUGACACUGAGGCUCGAAAGCGUGGGGAGCAAACAGGAUUAGAUACCCCCGUA
rnacentral:rRNA from 1 species